AAUAAGUGCAGCCAUGAGUUUCCGCAUCCAACUUUGAUCGUCCGUCUUAUUUAAAAUUUUUUUGUAAUUAGCAAUUUUGUUGUUAUAAGAUGAUAAAACAUGAAUAGUACUUUACUCGUGACCUAUGUUUUUAAUUUUUUAAAUUUUUUUUAAAUAAGACGAAUGAUCAAAGUUGAACGCUGAAAACCAUGGCUACACUUAUU
rnacentral:pre_miRNA from 1 species